GCAAGUCGAACGGUAACAGGAUUAGCUUGCUAAUCGCUGACGAGUGGCGGACGGGUGAGUAAUGCUUGGGAACUUGCCUUUGCGAGGGGGAUAACAGUUGGAAACGACUGCUAAUACCGCAUAAUGUCUACGGACCAAACGGGGCUUCGGCUCCGGCGCAAAGAGAGGCCCAAGUGAGAUUAGCUAGUUGGUAAGGUAAAGGCUUACCAAGGCAACGAUCUCUAGCUGUUCUGAGAGGAAGAUCAGCCACACUGGAACUGAGACACGGUCCAGACUCCUACGGGAGGCAGCAGUGGGGAAUAUUGCACAAUGGGGGAAACCCUGAUGCAGCCAUGCCGCGUGUGUGAAGAAGGCCUUCGGGUUGUAAAGCACUUUCAGUUGUGAGGAAAAGUUAGUAGUUAAUACCUGCUAGCCGUGACGUUAACAACAGAAGAAGCACCGGCUAACUCCGUGCCAGCAGCCGCGGUAAUACGGAGGGUGCGAGCGUUAAUCGGAAUUACUGGGCGUAAAGCGUACGCAGGCGGUUUGUUAAGCGAGAUGUGAAAGCCCCGGGCUCAACCUGGGAACUGCAUUUCGAACUGGCAAACUAGAGUGUGAUAGAGGGUGGUAGAAUUUCAGGUGUAGCGGUGAAAUGCGUAGAGAUCUGAAGG
rnacentral:rRNA from 1 species